AUGUAUAGUUCGUGCGGGAUUGUUAGAGUAGUCCCAAAAUCCAAUCCGCCGCCGACGACCAUGGGUUGGUCAAUCCCCGCCUCCUCCUUCCAGCCCCCCGCCGUGAUUCGCGCCGGCGCCCGCUACGCCCCCUGGGUUCUCCUCGACAGAAAGGCCUACUUGGCCGUCCGCGACAACGCCACCACCGCCGAAGCCCUCACCAGCACAGGCCGCACCGUCAAGAUCACCUUCUGCCUCGCCGACCCGCCCGCCAUCUCCCACUUCUGCGUCCACGGCCCCGAGUUCCGGCGCGGUGACUUCGCGAGCGAGCCCCUGGUCGUCUUCUCGGCCAAGGAUCUUGUGCUCCUCCGCUUCGCCUUCACUGUCGGCCGCCUCGAGUACUUCGUCUACAAGGCCGGCCGCGGCAAGCCGCCCUCGCUCACGCGGAUUCCUCGUACUCCUCCUGGCACCGCCAACUCGUUACACAAGUGCGUCUUGCCGUUCGACGACGACGAUGGGGGAUUCCUCAUGGCCGAUCUCUUCAUGACGAAGCUCCGCUCAGACUACCAGCUCCAAGUCUUCUCUUCCAAGACGGGCAAGUGGACCAUCACGCCGUUGCGGUUGCAAACAUCUCCCGGGGUCAGGGAAGAGGACCUGCCCGGCCCUCGUCUCGACAAGGCGAUCGCGCUGGGAGGAGGUGCCGUAGGCUGGGUCGACCUCUGGCGCGGCAUUCUCACCUGCAACGUGUUUGACAAGAACCCCGUUCUAAAUUUAAUCCCGAUACCCAAGCUUGCAUACUCUAAUGAGGAACGGAGAGCUGCCCCGCGGCUGGUCCGGGAUAUCACCUGCUGCAAUGGUCGCAUCAAGUUUGUCGAGCAGGAACUUCGGUUCAAAGUGUCUAUUAUUCCUAGAAAGACUCUGGAGGAUAAUGUUGAUAGCUUCGACAUCAUCUUUGAUCCUCGGCCGCUCUCCCACAAGGAGGAUGAUGACCGUGCCAAACUCGUGCUAGCUGCUGUCUGUCUUGGUUGGAAGCUCCGAACAUGUGAUAGGCAUACCACCAGGAACGACGAUUGGCACAAGGGGCACACAGUUGAUAUGGAUGCCAUCUCGGUCGACAACCCUGACCAUGCUAGGUUGCUCCCACAGCUCUGGGAUGCCCAGGCCGGGAAAUCAACUCUGUGGGAUCUGUCUUCAACUUACCCCACCCUAGGCAUUGACGAUGACGACAUUGUUUACAUGAUGACUAAGGUAAAGUUUCAUGAUAACAAGGCAUGGAUGAUCGGUGUCGACCUUGCAAAAAGGGCGGUGGAAGUGCUCAUACCAGUUUCUUCAGAGAGAGUCGGUAAUUUCAAACCGGACAUGAUCCUCGCCUGUGAAUUCUCCGAAUAUCUGAAUGCAACUGCAAGCUCAUCUCAAUAG
rnacentral:rRNA from 1 species